GGAGAGGUGGCUCAGUGGUUAAGGGCUCUGACUGCUCUUCAAAAGGUCCUGAGUUCAAGUUCCAGCAACCACA
rnacentral:tRNA from 1 species